GUUUGACAAAAUCGACGACGUUUCACUCCUAACAAAAAGUUGUGCUCUGAGCGAAGUCGGUUGAUUUCAUUUAGUUUUUUUUUUAAAUUGUUCGUCUCGCCGCGAUCGGAUCGAAUUCCCCAAUAAUCUCUGAGCGUACCGCCUAUCCUUCAAGUGAAAUGUCGUUGAAUCCGCAGUACGAGGAAAUUGGCAAGGGAUUUGUGCAGCAGUACUAUGCGAUAUUUGAUGACCCGGCGAACCGGGCGAACGUGGUUAAUUUCUAUAGCGCUACAGACUCAUUCAUGACCUUCGAAGGCCACCAAAUACAGGGAGCAACCAAGAUUUUGGAAAAAGUUCAGAGUCUGAGCUUUCAGAAGAUUACCAGAGUGAUAACCACAGUGGACUCGCAGCCCACUUUCGAUGGAGGAGUUCUGAUCAACGUCCUUGGAAGACUACAGACCGACGAGGAUCAGCCGCAUGCCUACAUUCAGACCUUCGUACUGAAGCCAGUGGGCGGCAGUUUCUUUGUGCAGCACGAUAUAUUCCGACUCUCGCUGCACGAUGUGUAGCACCAGCGAGCCCGAUCUGCCAUGCCCAGUCCACAACAGACUCCAGCGCCCGGCUAUAUGUGUGUCAAUCGAGAUCGAGAUCAGCAGCCAAACGAUCAGCCAGCAGACACGAGACGAGAGCCAGUUAGAAAACGAAAGAAAGCAAUAUCUAAGCGAUAGGAUAGUUCUGCUGCUUGUCGACCUUAUGCCGCCCAGCCAUGCCCACUCCGCCCACACAUACAUACAAAUAUUUAUCCUUGGCGUCUCGUCCGUCGUCGUCCAAUUUCUUCUAAUUAUCCUCACAUGCGAUGACGAUCCACCACACGCCUUCUCGCAGGUCUUUGUCCUGAAGGCCAACGCAGGCACCUUCUUCGUGGCCCACGACAUCUUCCG